rnacentral:tRNA from 1 species
GGGCAUGUAGCUAAACGGUUUAAAGCAACUCGUUGUCUGCGAGAAGAAUGAGGGUUCGAAUCCCUUCAUGCCCGCCA